rnacentral:rRNA from 1 species
CAGUCGCCGCGGUAACACGUAGGUGGCAAGCGUUGUCCGGAAUUAUUGGGCGUAAAGCGCGCGCAGGUGGUUUAAUAAGUCUGGUGUGAAAGCCCACGGCUCAACCGUGGAGGGUCAUUGGAAACUGUUAAACUUGAGUGCAGGAGAGAAAAGUGGAAUUCCUAGUGCAGCGGUGAAAUGCGUAGAGAUUAGGAGGAACACCAGUGGCGAAGGCGGCUUUUUGGCCUGUAACUGACACUGAGGCGCGAAAGCGUGGGGAGCAAACAGGAUUAGAUACCCGCGUAGUCCCUGUCUCUUAUAC